rnacentral:lncRNA from 1 species
GGGAGGCAGGAUGGAGGAGAGGACAGAAGGGUUGAUUUUUAUUCCUGUGAAUUUGCAGGAGUGACCUCCCAUGAUUUUCUGAGACCCAAAGGAGCUGAGGAGCUACAGGAGCAGUGUACAUUGGGGUGCCCAGCUCUGGAUUCACAUCCCUGCUGCUUGGAGAAGGUGUCUCUGGCUGCAAGGGAGCCCAUUCUUGGGACACAGGUUGUUCCUUCAAGUGCUCCAGAAAGCCAAAGGGUUUUUUUCCCACCCACUCCAGACCUCAGCAGAGCUUGCUGUGCUUCUGGGAGAUUGAUCCCAGCUCACACAUCCUCACAGCAAUGCUCUGCCUCAGGCUGAACUCAGCUGCCCUGGCACUGCCCCGUGCCCUCUGCAGGCUCCAGUCAGGCCACGUCCCUCUGGCACUUCCAUGGGAUCCCAUGUGGUCAGUUCCAGCCAUGUUCAGGAAUUAGGCUUUUCUGCUACAAUGUAUUAACAGAUCAUUUCCACCUCAGCCCUGGACUUGUAUUAACCUCUGAUCCCUGUGCAGAAGACCCAUUUUCUAUAAAGUCCAACAAACCCUGUCAAGUUUUAGCUCAUGUGAGAUCUUAUUGCAGAGAACAGACCAUAGGUGGGGAAACUGAGGCAAGAGACAGUGAACAAAUUGGGUCAGUCUGCUGAGGUCAAAUCUGCCACGGGGCCACACAAUCCCCAAAUUUGGGAUGGACCCAAAUUUGUCCAUCCAUGGACACAAGUGAGCAGCUCUCCUGUGACCUCCAGCAUCUCACCUCCAGCCGUGCUGCUGCUUACCAUGGAAAAGUCACAUUAGGAAAGUAUGUGAUGUAUUUUUAACUGUCUAUAAUGCAAUUUAACAGCUGGAAAGGAGGAAGAACUCCAACCCCAUGCAAUCCAACAGAUCUCUGCUGUCUGCAAGCGAGGGCUCUGUGGACUCAGGGGUUUUGGUAUGGUUGAAGACCUUGUUUGGGAAAAGGGCAGGAAACAACCUCAUC